rnacentral:rRNA from 1 species
UACGAAGGGGGCUAGCGUUGUUCGGAAUUACUGGGCGUAAAGCGCGUGUAGGCGGGUCUUUAAGUCAGGGGUGAAAUGCCAAGGCUCAACCUUGGAACUGCCUUUGAUACUGGAGACCUUGAGUCCGGGAGAGGUGAGUGGAAUUGCGAGUGUAGAGGUGAAAUUCGUAGAUAUUCGCAAGAACACCAGUGGCGAAGGCGGCUCACUGGCCCGGAACUGGCGCUGAGACGCGAAAGCGUGGGGAGCAAACAGG